GUCCUUUUUUUUUUUUGGGAACAGAAAUGCUUUCAAAAAUGAGCUGACAUUGUUAGAAAAGGUUCGGCAUCCUAAUGUGGUUCAGUUUGUGGGAGCUGUUACUCAGAAUAUACCCAUGAUGAUUGUUUCACAGUACCAUCCAAAAGAGAUUUGGCAAAUUACCUUCAAAAGAAAGGACGUCUACAGCCUUCUAAAGCUCUGAGAUUUGCUCUUGAUAUUGCUAGCUUUUACCCUACUUUCAGAGCUUGCUAGUUUCAAGUUAAAAUCCAUAUGCACUGCAAUGAAUAUUUUAUAUUGCCCAAAAUCUUCUUUCUGUGGGAAAUAAAAGAAGAACGUUAACAUGUCGGUUCAAAUGGGAUUCAGGUACAUCUAUACAGGAGAUUUCUUCCGAGUAGCUUGAGGAAAGGAGAUUUAUAUCAUGCAGAGGCAACUGCAAAUUUCUGGCGCUUAUCAUCCAAGUCCUGUCUUCCAACAAUGUGUACGGUUCAUCAUUAGCUUUCUCACUUUCAACUUCCUGUCUCCAUUGAUAAAUCUGUGAACUCUUGUUCCUCCUCUUAGAUUGGCAGAAGUCUUAAACUUCUUUUUUAUAAUAUAUUUGUAGGCAAUGAACUUUUGCAAUUAUUAGUUCCUGGUACCUGGGGAUGCAUGUACUCGGUUUCACUAUCAGAUACAUUUCAUUAAUAUUAGUAGAUUUACAUGGUAUUUUUCUGCAUUUGGUGUUUUUUCAAAGAUUUAAAUUGAACAUUGAGAAUAUCAUUGAGUGUAUAAUCAAAAGUAUUCAAGCCAAUGGUGGUGGUGAAUACAGGAAAUUCAAAACCUUUCUUGAAA